UGGGGAAUAUUGCACAAUGGAGGGAACUCUGAUGCAGCGACGCCGCGUGAACGAAGAAGGCUUUCGAGUCGUAAAGUUCUUUUAUAUGGGAAGAUAAUGACGGUACCAUAAGAAGAAGCCCCGGCUAACUACGUGCCAGCAGCCGCGGUAAUACGUAGGGGGCUAGCGUUGUCCGGAAUCACUGGGCGUAAAGGGUUCGCAGGCGGAAAUGCAAGUCAGGUGUAAAAGGCAGUAGCUUAACUACUGUAAGCAUUUGAAACUGCAUAUCUUGAGAAGAGUAGAGGUAAGUGGAAUUUUUAGUGUAGCGGUGAAAUGCGUAGAUAUUAAAAAGAAUACCGGUGGCGAAGGCGACUUAAUGGGCUCAUUCUGACGCUGAGGAACGAAAGCGUGGGUAGCAAACAGG
rnacentral:rRNA from 1 species